GAGAACCCUGUGGGUGAGGUUAUCAUUACAUUACAUUACAUUAUUGGCAUUUGGCAGACGCUCUUAUCCAGAGCGACGUACAACAAAGUGCAUACCCAUAACCAGGGAUAAGUUCGCUGAAAGACCCUAGAGUCACACGCAGCAGAACAUAAUGCAAGCUUUCCCUGACAAUUCUGAAGUAAGUCUUGCCAAGGGGCAGGAUAAACCUGGGCUUGUGUGGAUAAAGAAUUCAGAAGAAAGCCACCCAGAAAACAGCAAAUCCUCAGAGACCCCAGUCCCAAAUGGCAGCUGCAAAGCCAAGG